UAUUUUUUAAUUCCAUAUAAUUUUCUAAAAUUCAUAUCUCUUUCAUUAUUUGUCCAAAAAUUAUGGGACCAAUUGCAUUAUUUCUCUUUUAUUUUCUACUUUCUAAAAAUGAUUUUUAAUAUUUUUUUAUUUUAUCAUUUGCUAUUUUUUAAUAAUUUUCUUUUUUCUGGUUAUUUUUAAUUCAUUUUAAAUAGUUUUUGAUAUUC
rnacentral:lncRNA from 1 species